rnacentral:rRNA from 1 species
AGGACGAACGCUGGCGGCGCGCUUAAUACAUGCAAGUCGAGCGAGAACCAGGGCUUCGGCUCUGGGGACAGCGGCGAACGGGUGGGUAACACGUGGGUAAUCAACCCCCGACACCGGGAUAGCCCAGGGAAACUUGGAUUAAUACCGGAUGCUCCGUCUGGCUUUAGGGCCGGCCGGAAAAGGGUAGCUUCGGCCUCCGGUCGGGGACGAGCCCGCGGCGGAUUAGCUUGUUGGUGAGGUAAAGGCUCACCAAGGCGACAAUCCGUAGCUGGUCUGAGAGGACGAUCAGCCACACUGGGACUGAGACACGGCCCAGACUCCUACGGGAGGCAGCAGUAGGGAAUCUUGCGCAAUGGGCGAAAGCCUGACGCAGCGACGCCGCGUGAGGGAAGAAGGCCUUCGGGUUGUAAACCUCUUUCAGGAGGGACGAAGCCACUCGGGUUAAUAGCCUAGAGGGUGACGGUACCUCCAGAAGAAGCCCCGGCUAACUACGCGCCAGCAGCCGC